GAAACACGUGUCCUGGCUACGUGAUAUAGCCAUGUGUGUUCCUUUUCAUCCAUUUUUCUGUCCCAAGAAAAAAUACUCUGCAAAAUGAAAGGGUUUUGCAAGCUCUCAUAUGAAAUUCUCAGUUAAACUGCAUACCUAGGAAGGUGUUCUCUCAAUUUGUUAAUUUUUCCUAAGUUGGAAUUUACAGGUACUUGGAGAACAAAGGGAAGGCAAGAAAUCGAAAAGAUGUGAUGCAGGGAACAUUGAGCAGUAUAAGGGAGUGAAAUAAAGGUGCAGUGAAGGUUACUAGCUUUCCUGUUGAGACUUCCGCUGCACAACGAUUCAAUUGAAUACAUGUUCUUCACUAGAGUAGAGGAAACCAUCAUCCAAGAUUAAAUUUUAGAUUAAAAACAAAAUGGUAAUGCUAUACUAUAUUGUUGCUCUAAGUUAAUUGAAUCUAUUUUUGUUAGAGUACGAGGCAUUAGCAUUCUGUUAUAUUUCAUAUUGAGCUUCACACUUUCUGUAAAGGUUUCUUCACUUAAAUAAUAGCUAUUUGUUUUAUCUCUUUGAGUUAAGCUAUGGGUCGCAAGUCCAUAGAUGUUUCAAUCUUUUUCUCGUUUUCAUCCAAAUAUGUAACAUAUUGAGCUCAUACCAAUACAUUAUUAUGCAGACUGAUGCUAGCUUUAAACUAGCUAAAUGGUUUAUUAUUUUUUAACUCUUUU